GUUUGGUCCUGACCUUACAGUCAAUUCUUACUUGAUUUACACAUGCAAGUAUCCGCGCCCCUGUGAAAACGCCCUUAAAUUCCCCCUGGAAUAAGGAGCCGGUAUCAGGCACAUUCUCUGCCCAAGACACCUAGCUAUGCCACACCCACAAGGGACCUCAGCAGUGAUUAAUAUUGAUUAUCAGCGACAGCUUGAUUCAGUUAAAGUAAACAGAGCCGGCUAAUCUGGUGCCAGCCGCCGCGGUUACACCACGUGGCUCAAAUUGACCCCCACCGGCGUAAAGAGUGAUUUAAGAAUCUUAAUAUUGGCGUCAAAUUUGAACUAAGCUGUGACACGCUUGUUCCUUAGAAGCCCUAAGACGAAAGUUACACCAACCAAACCAACUUGAACUCACGACAGCCAAGAAACAAACUGGGAUUAGAUACCCCACUAUGCUCGGCAAUAAACCUUAAAUUACACCUAAAUCGCCCGGGAACUACGAGCAAAGCUUAAAACCCAAAGGACUUGACGGUACCCCAAACCCACCUAGAGGAGCCUGUCCUAUAAUCGAUAAUCCCCGCUUUACCUCACCACUCCUUGUUAAUCAGCCUGUAUACCUCCGUCGUCAGCUUACCCCGUGAGCGAAACAUAGUGAGCUCAAUGCCAUUUCACCAAUACGUCAGGUCAAGGUGCAGCUUAUGCAGUGGAAAGAGAUGGGCUACACUCCCUAAUUUAGGAGAUACGAAAAACUACCUAUGAAAUCUAGUCUGAAGGCGGAUUUAGAAGUAAAAAGAAGUCAGAGAAUUCUUUUUAACUCGGCACCGGGGUGUGUACACACCGCCCGUCACCCUCUUCAAAGUCUCACUACAGUUUUUAACUCUACCUUGACAAACAGAAGAGGCAAGUCGUAACAUGGUNNNNNNNNNNNNNNNNNNNNNNNNNNNNNNNNNNNNNNNNNNNNNNNNNNAGCCACCCGCUUACACCGGGCAGAUCUCUGUGAAACCCAGAUUAUUGUGAGCCAACCCUCUAGCCCUAAUCCACCCUAUACCACCUCAACAACCUUAUCCACUAACCAAAACAUUUUAUUGACUUAGUAAAGGAGAUUGAAAAACCCUUAGGAGCUACAAAAAGAGUACCGCAAGGGAAAGAUGAAAUAAAAAUGAAAUAAAUUUUAAGCAAAAAACAGUAGAGAAAAGUCCUCGUACCUUUUGCAUCAUGGUUUAACUAGUCUAAUCAAGCAAAAAGACCUUAAGUUUGACCCCCCGAAACUAAACGAGCUACUUUGAGGCAGCUAAUUGAGCUAACCCGUCUCUGUUGUAAAAGAGUGGGAAGACCUCCAAGUAGAAGUGACAGACCUAUCGAGUUUAGUGAUAGCUGGUUGCUUAAGAAAAGGACCUAAGUCCACGCUAAAUUGACUUUUAUACAAAAAAAAUCUCACCCUUAAUUUAGACUCACUCAAAUAAGGUACAGCCUAUUUGAUAAAGGACACAACCCCUUAGUAUGGGUAAUAAACGCAACUCUUUACAACUAAGUAGGCCUAAAAGCAGCCACCUUAACCAACAGCGUCACAGCUUAAUUGUAAACAAGCCAAAUCACCUUCCUUAUAUAAAACCCUACACCACUAUUAAGUAAUUCCAUACUUUUAUGGAAAAUUUUAUGUUAAAACUAGUAACAAGAAGAAACACUUCUCUUUAAUGCAAACCCACAUCAGAUUGGACCAACCACUGAUAAAUAACACCCAUAACUUCCAAGUAGUAACCAAACAAGAAAACUCUACUUCCACUCAAUGUUAACCUAAUACAAGAGCAUUACAAGAAAGAUUAAAAGAAAAAGAAGGAACUCGGCAAAUAAUGACCCCGCCUGUUUACCAAAAACAUCGCCUCUUGACCCCCAUAAGAGGUCCAGCCUGCCCAGUGACACUGUUCAACGGCCGCGGUAUCCUAACCGUGCGAAGGUAGCGUAAUCACUUGCUCUUUAAAUGAGGGCUAGUAUGAAAGGCACCACGAGAGUCAUACUGUCUCCUUUCUCAAAUCAGUGAAACUAAUCCUUCCGUGAAGAAGCGGGGAUAAAAAUAUAAGACGAGAAGACCCUAUGGAGCUUUAAACAAACAAUACUUGCCUGCCUCUUUUUAAUUCCAGAAAAACUACCUACCCCGGCACUAUAAUUACUAGUUUUCGGUUGGGGUGACCGCGGAACAAAAACCAACCUCCGCAAUGAAAAUACUCCCUCCUCUAAGUUAAGGACUACAAUCCUAUGCAUCAACAUAUUGACAUCGAUUGACCCAACAUAUUGAUCAAUGAACCAAGUUACCCUAGGGAUAACAGCGCAAUCCACUUCAAGAGCCCCUAUCGACAAGUGGGUUUACGACCUCGAUGUUGGAUCAGGGUGUCCUAGUGGUGCAGCCGCUACUAAAGGUUCGUUUGUUCAACGAUUAAAACCCU
rnacentral:ncRNA from 1 species